UCCCUUGUAGCUCAGUCGGUAAAGAAUCUGCCUGCAGUGCAGAAGACCUGGGUUCAAUCCCUGGGUCGGGAA
rnacentral:tRNA from 1 species